rnacentral:rRNA from 1 species
AUUGAGCGCUGGCGGAAUGCUUUACACAUGCAAGUCGAACGGCAGCACGGGGGCAACCCUGGUGGCGAGUGGCGAACGGGUGAGUAAUACAUCGGAACGUGCCCGGUCGUGGGGGAUAACGUAGCGAAAGUUACGCUAAUACCGCAUACGAUCUGAGGAUGAAAGCGGGGGACCUUCGGGCCUCGCGCGAUCGGAGCGGCCGAUGUCAGAUUAGGUAGUUGGUGGGGUAAAGGCCUACCAAGCCGACGAUCUGUAGCUGGUCUGAGAGGACGACCAGCCACACUGGGACUGAGACACGGCCCAGACUCCUACGGGAGGCAGCAGUGGGGAAUUUUGGACAAUGGGCGCAAGCCUGAUCCAGCCAUUCCGCGUGCAGGACGAAGGCCUUCGGGUUGUAAACUGCUUUUGGAUGGAACGAAAAGGCUCUGGCUAACACCUGGGGCUCAUGACGGUACCGUAAGAAUAAGCACCGGCUAACUACGUG